GGGAGAUUUGGAAUAAAGGGAACAGCUGGUAGGUGGAAGAGAAGCUACGAAACAGUUCUAUUUAGCAAGGGGGAAAAACAGAAAAAAAAAAACGGUUUGCUAAUAUUCUACAGCUUGAGGACGAAAAUUAUGAAGUAUUUUGGUUUGCAGAAAUGGAAUUGUGGGAUGCGUGUGCAGAUGGAUAAUUACAGAUUUGUAUUCACUGAUUGUAAAAAGAGAUAGGCGUGAAAGUGCAAAUGUGAAUGGCUGUGAAUGCGAGAGAGCUGUCCUAAUGUGAACAUAAGAGAGGGUACAGUGAUUCUUGUUGGCAGCAGUUAAGAAUAUGAAGACUGUGAACGCCCCUUGUCCAUCGGGAAUUACUUCUAAAGUGCAUAAGAUGUAGGGCAUAUUAGGAUACAGCCUUGUCACCAUUUAAUUAAUAAGGUCCAGAAAAAAUGUG